rnacentral:rRNA from 1 species
GACAACCUUGCGACGUGCCUAAGAAAUGCAAGUCGAGCGAGGUAGCAAUACCUAGCGGCGAACGGUCGCGUAACACGUAAGCAACCUGCCCCAGAGACCGGGACAACGUUCCGAAAGGAGCGCUAAUACCGGAUGUGCCCAUGAGUUGACAUCGGCUUAUGAGUAAAUCGAGCAAUCGGCUCUGGGAGGGGCUUGCGGCCUAUCAGCUAGAUGGUGGGGUAACGGCCUACCAUGGCGACGACGGGUAGCUGGUCUGAGAGGAUGGUCAGCCGGAUUGGGACUGAGAUACGGCCCAGACUCCUACGGGGGGCAGCAAUUAGGAAUCUUGCGCAAUGGGCGAAAGCCUGACGCAGCGACGUCGCGUGGGGGAUGAAGGCUUUCGGGUUGUAAACCCCUUUUGUCGAGGAAGAAACAAAUGACGGUACUCGACGAAUAAGCCCCGGCUAACUCCGUGCCAGCAGCCGCGGUAAUACGGAGGGGGCGAGCGUUGUCCGAAGUUACUGGGCGUAAAGCGCGCGUAGCGGGUUGGUNAGUNCGCUGUGAAAAGCCCGGAGCUUAACUCCGGAGGGUCGGUGGAUACUGNCAGUCUUGAAGGUGCUAGGGGGAGAUGGAAUUACCGGUGUAGCGGUGAAAUGCGUUAAAUAUCGGUAGGAACACCAGUGGCGAAAGGCGGUCUUCCUGGGGCAUUCUUGACGCUGAAGCGCGAAAGCUGGGGGG